UAGGGAAUCUUCCGCAAUGGACGAAAGUCUGACGGAGCAACGCCGCGUGAGUGAAGAAGGAUUUCGGUUCGUAAAACUCUGUUGUUAGGGAAGAAAAAAUGUAUAGUAACUAUAUACAAAAGAGACGGUACCUAACCAGAAAGCCACGGCUAACUACGUGCCAGCAGCCGCGGUAAUACGUAGGUGGCAAGCGUUUCCGGAAUUAUUGGGCGUAAAGCGCGCGCAGGUGGUUUAGAAAGUCUGAUGUGAAAGCCCACGGCUCAACCGUGGAGGGUCAUUGGAAACUAAUAAACUUGAGUGCAGGAGAGAAAAGUGGAAUUCCUAGUGUAGCGGUGAAAUGCGUAGAGAUUAGGAGGAACACCGGUGGCGAAAGCGGCUUUUUGGCCUGCAACUGACACUGAGGCGCGAAAGCGUGGGGAGCAAACAGG
rnacentral:rRNA from 1 species